rnacentral:lncRNA from 1 species
CCUUCUGGUAUCGUUUCUUCCAAGGUCAUAAUUUCUAUUCGAUUGAUUCAGUCUCGUUGUUUGAUAGUUGGUCCUGGAUAGAGUAACCUUGAGUAUUGUCACUUUGUAACUGCAUCUUUUUGUUUCGUAGAAGAUCAUGAAUACUAGCCCACUUCCUGCCUUUAAUUAGUUUAGGCAUGUCUUUGGCUGCUAUCAUGUCAAUACCUUAUUUAUGGGAGUUAAAAAUGAAAUGAUUACAAACUAAAGAGAUCCCACCAAUGAUAACAUUAUAAUGAAACUAAUAGG